CCUACGGGAGGCAGCAGUGGGGAAUAUUGCACAAUGGGGGAAACCCUGAUGCAGCGACGCCGCGUGAGUGAAGAAGUAUUUCGGUAUGUAAAGCUCUAUCAGCAGGGAAGAAAAUGACGGUAUCUGAUUAAGAAGCCCCGGCUAACUACGUGCCAGCAGCCGCGGUAAUACGGAGGGGGCAAGCGUUAUCCGGAUUUACGGGGUGUAAAGGGGGCGUAGACGGCAGCACAAGUCUGAAGUGAAAUGCCGGGGCUUAACCCCGGAACUUCUUUGGAAACUGGGCAGCUAGAGUGCAGGAGAGGUAAGUUGAAUUCCUAGUGUAGCGGUGAAAUGCGUAGAUAUUAGGAGGAACACCAGUGGCGAAGGCGGCUUACUGGACUGUAACUGACGUUGAGGCUCGAAAGCGUGGGGAGCAAACAGGAUUAGAUACCCCUGUAGUC
rnacentral:rRNA from 1 species